UACGGAGGGUGCGAGCGUUGUCCGGAAUCACUGGGCGUAAAGGGCGCGUAGGCGGCCGGAGCAGUCUGUGGUGAAAGCUCGGGGCUCAACCCUGAGUCGGCCACGGAUACUCUUCGGCUGGAGCACGGUAGAGGCCAAUGGAAUUCCGGGUGUAGCGGUGGAAUGCGUAGAGAUCCGGAAGAACACCGGUGGCGAAGGCGGUUGGCUGGGCCGUGGCUGACGCUGAGGCGCGACAGCGUGGGGAGCAAAC
rnacentral:rRNA from 1 species